CCUACGGGUGGCUGCAGUGAGGAAUAUUGCUCAAUGGGCGCGAGCCUGAACCAGCCAAGUAGCGUGAAGGAUGACUGUCCUACGGGCUGUAAACUUUGUUUAUAAAGGAAUAAAGUGAGGCACGUGUGCCUUAUUGUAUGUACUUUACGAAUAAGGAUAGCCUAACCACGUGCCAGCAGCCGCGGUACGACGGAGGUUCCGAGCGUUAUCCGGAUCUGGUGGGUUUAAAGUGAGCGUAGGUGGGUGGUUAAGUCAGUUGUGAAAGUUUGCGGCUCAACCGUAGAAUUGCAAUUGAUACUGGCAGCCUUGAGUGCAGUUGAGGUAGGCGGAAUUCGUGGUGUAGCGGUGAAAUGCGUAGA
rnacentral:rRNA from 1 species